CGUAGGGUGCAAGCGUUGUCCGGAAUUAUUGGGCGUAAAGAGCUCGUAGGCGGUUUGUCGCGUCUGCUGUGAAAACUGGGGGCUCAACCCCCAGCCUGCAGUGGGUACGGGCAAACUAGAGUGCGGUAGGGGAGAUUGGAAUUCCUGGUGUAGCGGUGGAAUGCGCAGAUAUCAGGAGAAACACCGGUGGCGAAGGCGGUUCUCUGGGCCUUACCUGACGCUGAGGAGCGAAAGCGUGGGGAGCGAACAGG
rnacentral:rRNA from 1 species